rnacentral:rRNA from 1 species
GCCAGCCCCCCCGCCUGCCUUAUCUCCUAAAAACCCAUGCUACCGAAACCAAACCAUUUGUCUCACCCAGUAUAUGUGAUAGAACAGCCCACCCAGCGCACCUCCCAGUACCACAAGGGAACACUGAAAGACUAAAUUAUACUCAAAGCACAAUACAGCAGGCCUCAACUACCGUACCUCUUGCAUCAUGGUUUAACAAGCACUCUCAGAUAAAGCGCCCUUCACCUGCCCACCCGAAGCCAGACGAGCUACCUCAGAGCAACACUAGCAAAAACCCAUCUCUGUGGCAAAAGAGUGGGAAGACUUUGAGGUAGAGGCGAAACACCAACCGAGCCUGGCGAUAGCUGGUUGCUUAAUAAAAGAAUUUAAGUUCAACUCUAGCCAUACUACAUAUUACACCAAUAACACCCCCCACGCUUGAAGUCAUACAAUAAGGGUACAGCUUUAUUGUAAUUGGACACAACCAAUAUUAGCGGACAAAUCAAACCUCUAAGAUCCGUAGGCCUUAAAGCAGCCAUCAACAAAAAUUGCGUCAAAGAACUCUGCCCCCACCAUACCAACAACCAUAAAAACCCCCUACCCCAAACUAAGCCACUCUAUGCCACACAUAGAAAACCUCCUGCUAAAACUAGUAAUAAGAAAAGCACUCUCCACGCACCCGUGUACGCCGACAUGGAUACCCCGCCGGCACUUAACAGCGCCUUACACGCUAAUAUUAAUAAACCCAAGACCCACAACCCAAUAAGCUGUUACCCCAACACAGGCGUGCUACAAUGGAAAGAUUAACAGCCCCAAAAGGAAUUCAGCUAACGCACCUCACCUGUUUACCAAAAACAUGGCCUUUAGCUAGGAAAGCAGUAUUAAAGGUCUAGCCUGCCCAGUGACCCAUAAACGGCCGCGGUAUCCUAACCGUGCAAAGGUAGCGCAAUCACUUGUCCCCUAAAUAGGGACCCGUAUGAACGACUUCAUGAAGGUGCACCUGUCUCCUGAGGCCAAUCAAUGAAACUGAUCUAUCAGUACAAAAGCUGAUAUAUGCCCAUAAGACGAGAAGACCCUGUGGAGCUUCAAGAAAACUACUAACGAGUCAACACAAACAUCACCAAGAACAGACACCCCCACAUCAAUAGUAAAAACUUUCAGUUGGGGCGACUACGGAGCAUAAUAAAACCUCCACGACAUCAGGCUUACAACCAUCACAAGGCCUACUAGCCAAAAACAACCAUUGACCCAGUAAUAAAACUGAUUAACGAACCAAGUUACCCCAGGGAUAACAGCGCCAUCCCCUUCAAGAGUCCCCAUCGCCAAGGGGGUUUACGACCUCGAUGUUGGAUCAGGGCCUCCCAGUGGUGCAGCCGCUACUAACGGUUCGUUUGUUCAACGAUUAAAGCCCUACGUGAUCUGAGUUCAGACCGGAGAAAUCCAGGUCGGUUUCUAUCUAUGCUACAGCCUCCUCAGUACGAAAGGACCACUGAGGCUAAUACCCCUGCCAAAAUCGCACGUAUCACUAAACCUAAUUGAAUAAAACUCAAACGACUCCGAGCAGUCGCCCCGAGACAAGGGCCAUUU